CAACAGGGAUUGCCUUAGUAACGGCGAGUGAAGCGGCAACAGCUCAAAUUUGAAAUCUGGCCCUUGGGUCCGAAUUGUAAUUUGUAGAGGAUGAUUUUGGUGCGGUAUCUUCCGAGUUCCUUGGAACAGGACGCCUUAGAGGGUGAGAGCCCCGUACGGUUGAAUGCCUAGCCUCUGUAAAUCUCCUUCGACGAGUCGAGUAGUUUGGGAAUGCUGCUCUAAAUGGGAGGUAAAUUUCUUCUAAAGCUAAAUAUUGGCCAGAGACCGAUAGCGCACAAGUAGAGUGAUCGAAAGAUGAAAAGCACUUUGAAAAGAGGGUUAAAUAGCACGUGAAAUUGUUGAAAGGGAAGGAUUUGUGACCAGACUUUUUCUGGGCGGAUCAUCCGGGGUUCUCUCCGGUGCACUUCGCCCAGUAAAGGCCAGCAUCGGUUUUCGGCGUGGGAUAAAAGCAGUAGGAAUGUGGCUCUCUACGGGGAGUGUUAUAGCCUAUUGUAUAAUACCGCGCUGGGGACCGAGGUUCGCGCUUCUGCAAGGAUGCUGGCGUAAUGGUUAUCAAUCACCCGUCUUGAAACACGGACCAAGGAGUCGAACAUUUGUGCGAGUGUUUGGGUGUUAAACCCUCACGCGUAAUGAAAGUGAACGGAGGUGAGAGCCCUUACGGGUGCAUCAUCGACCGAUCCUGAAGUUUUCGGAUGGAUUUGAGUAAGAGCAUAACUGUUCGGACCCGAAAGAUGGUGAACUAUGCGUGGAUAGGGUGAAGCCAGAGGAAACUCUGGUGGAGGCUCGCAGCGGUUCUGACGUGCAAAUCGAUCGUCAAAUCUGCGCAUGGGGGCGAAAGACUAAUC
rnacentral:rRNA from 1 species